rnacentral:rRNA from 1 species
GAAAGUAAAUAAGGGCGCAUGGCGGAUGCCUUGGCUCUCGGAGGCGAUGAAGGACGUGAUAAGCUGCGAUAAGCUUCGGGUAGGUGCAAAUGACCUUUGAUCCGAAGAUUUCCGAAUGGGACAACCCGGCAUUCUGAAGGAAUGUCAUCCAACUUGGUUGGAGGCUAACGCAGGGAACUGAAACAUCUUAGUACCUGCAGGAAAAGAAAAUAAAUAAUGAUUCCCCUAGUAGUGGCGAGCGAACGGGGAUUAGCCCAAACCACCCAUGUUACGGCAUGUGUGGGGUUGUAGGACCACGCUCUCGCAAGACAGUUAUUGAGAAGAAACGACUGGAAAGUCGUGCCAUAGACGGUGAUAGCCCGGUAUUCUAAGGUAACCGAAGCGUAGUGGUAUCCUGAGUAGCGCGGAGCACGAGGAAUUCUGCGUGAAUCAGCCGGGACCAUCCGGUAAGGCUAAAUACUCCCGAGAGACCGAUAGCGAACCAGUACUGUGAAGGAAAGGUGAAAAGCACUUCGAAUAGAAGAGUGAAAUAGUCCCUGAAACCAUGCGCCUACAAGCGGUCGGAGCAGCUUCAGCUGUGACGGCGUGCCUUUUGCAUAAUGAACCUACGAGUUACUUUUUCCGGCAAGGUUAAGCAUCUUGAGAUGUGGAUCCGAAGCGAAAGCGAGUCUGAACAGGGCGGAUAGUCGGAAGGAGUAGACGCGAAACCAAGUGAUCUACCCUUGGGCAGGUUGAAGGUUAGGUAACACUAACUGGAGGACCGAACCGAUAAGCGUUGAAAAGCUUCCGGAUGACCUGAGGGUGGGGGUGAAAGGCUAAUCAAACUUGGAGAUAGCUCGUACUCCCCGAAAUGCAUUUAGGUGCAGCCUUGAGAGUUACUAAUGUGAGGUAGAGCGACUGAUAAGAUGCGAGGGCUUCACCGCCUAUCAAGUCUUGAUAAACUCCGAAUGCGCAUUAGUUCUAUCUCAGGAGUGAGGGCAUGGGUGCUAAGGUCCAUGUCCUAAAGGAGAAGAAUCCAGACCAUCAGCUAAGGUCCCCAAAUAAACACUAAGUUGAACUAACGAAGUCAGAUUGCUAAGACAGCUAGGAUGUUGGCUUGGAAGCAGCCAUUCAUUUAAAGAGUGCGUAACAGCUCACUAGUCGAGGAGUUUGGCGUGGAUAAUAAUCGGGCAUUAAGUGUUUUACCGAAGCUAUGGGAUCCUAAUGGAUCGGUAGGGGAGCAUUCCACUCUGCGUUGAAGGCGAAGCGUGAGCUUUACUGGAGCGUGUGGAAAAGCAAAUGUAGGUAUAAGUAACGAUAAAGGGGGUGAGAAACCCCCUCGCCGCAAGACUAAGGUUUCCUGAUCAACGCUAAUCGGAUCAGGGUUAGUCGGGUCCUAAGGCUCAGCCGAACGGUGAGGCCGAUGGCAGAACAGGUUAAUAUUCCUGUACUACCUGUAAGAGUGAUGUGGAGACGGAGGAGUGACAACGCCGCGGACUGACGGAAUAGUCCGUUAAAGGGUGUAGAUGUUGAUUAUCCCAGGCAAAUCCGGGAUAAGAGUCGAACCUGACAGUAUACCAAUUUCCCCGGAAAACGGUAAUAGUGCGUGUAAACAUACUCCCAAGAAAAUCCGCUAAACUUAAUCUUACAGGUACCCGUACCGUAAACGGACACACGUAGUCGGGUUGAAUAUACUCAGGCGCUUGAGUGAAUCACGGUUAAGGAACUAGGCAAAUUGACCCUGUAACUUCGGGAUAAAGGGUCCCUACCCGGUGACGGGAGGGCGCAGAGAAUAGGUCCAGGCAACUGUUUAACAAAAACACAGGGCUGUGCAAAAUUGAAAGAUCACGUAUACAGCCUGACACCUGCCCGGUGCUGGAAGGUUAAGAGGAGAUGUCAUCGCAAGAGAAGCAUUGAAUUGAAGCCCCAGUAAACGGCGGCCGUAACUAUAACGGUCCUAAGGUAGCGAAAUUCCUUGUCGGGUAAGUUCCGAGGGUCAA